rnacentral:rRNA from 1 species
UAUCCCUACGGGAGGCAGCAGUGGGGAAUAUUGCACAAUGGGCGAAAGCCUGAUGCAGCAACGCCGCGUGAGCGAUGAAGGCCUUCGGGUCGUAAAGCUCUGUCCUCAAGGAAGAUAAUGACGGUACUUGAGGAGGAAGCCCCGGCUAACUACGUGCCAGCAGCCGCGGUAAUACGUAGGGGGAUAGCGUUAUCCGGAAUUACUGGGCGUAAAGGUUGCGGAGGUGGUUUCUUAAGUCAGAGGUGAAAGGCUACGGCACAACCGUAGU